rnacentral:rRNA from 1 species
GUAGGGAAUAUUGCUCAAUGGGCGAAAGCUUGAAGCAGCAACGCCGCGUGCGGGAUGAAGGCCUUCGGGUUGUAAACCGCUUUUCUGGGGAACGAGUAAGGACGGUACCUCAAGAAUAAGUCUCGGCUAACUACGUGCCAGCAGCCGCGGUAAUACGUAGGAGGCAAGCGUUAUCCGGAUUUACUGGGCGUAAAGCGCGUGCAGGCGGUAUGGUAAGUUGGAUGUGAAAUCUCCUGGCUCAACUGGGAGUGGUCGUUCAAAACUGCCAGACUAGAGGACGAUAGAGGAAGGUAGAAUUCCCGGUGUAGUGGUGAAAUGCGUAGAUAUCGGGAGGAAUACCAGUGGCGAAGGCGGCCUUCUGGAUCGUUCCUGACGCUCAGACGCGAAAGCAUGGGUAGCGAACGGGAUUAGAUACCCCGGUAGUCC